UUAAAUUUGUAAUUUAUUUUAAAAUAAUAUUGUUUUAACGGAAUUCUUGAAUGACCCCUGAAAUCUAAAAAUAUCUAACUGACAGCAUAAUAAAUUAGCGAGACUUGUCAAAUUUCCCAGUGAGUAAAAUGUCGUGCCGAAUUGCGUUGACAAUAAAAUGCUGUCAGAUCCAAAAAGCUUUUCUGGUAAAAGUGAUUAAUCAUUUCAGCUUCGAACUUGUUUUGAAUUGAAUUGCAGCCACGGUGAUUUUUUUUUUUUUUUUGAUUUUCAUAUUCCCGGUUUGGCCCGAGUCCUAAAUGUUUUUUUUUUUUUCAUUUUAAAAGUAUAAAAAUGCUUAGAGGGGAUUUUAACCAUUAGAAGACCACCUAGUAGAGCCGACUAGAAUUUUUCACGAUUAUUCAAUAUUUUAAGCACUAUUUCAAAACCCUUUGUACAAAACAAUGAAAUCUUUUGAACAAUUCUGACUAUUUGUUUCAUCAGUUAUUUGUUCUUGAGCAGAAAAAUAGUCAUUUGAAAAUAAAGUGUUUUUACAUGUCCAACCUCUUUUCCUAUAGUAGACCCAACCUCUUUUCCUAUAGUAGGACCCGGGUCCUUAAUAUCAAAUUUAACCGAUAUUUGAUGUUUUGAUGCAUGAUGUGGGUCUAAUGAUAGAUAUAAAGAAUAAAACAGGGCAUUUGCUAACGUUUCAUUGUAAACAAAUCAUUUUUUAACAGAUAUGGAUUAACGACAUAAAAACCUAACUGACUUUUAAACACAUUUACUUCCGAUUAUUUUUAAAGAAAACGGUUCAAAAUCCACUGUAAACAUAAAAAUUAUUUUAAAAAAAAGUUACUUUGAUGCAUUUUUUUCCAUAUUAAUUUCUUAAAUAGUUGACCAAAACAAUAGAUUUGUUGCCUUAUGGGAACAAGAAAGAAAACAAUGGCAUCAAUUCCUAAUAAUUUUCGAGAAAGAAACUUUUCUAGGGAAUGGUUUUCGUGGAAAUGGUUUUCUGGGGAACGUGACACAAUCAUAAUCUAGUGCAGAAAAAAAUCCAAUCAUAAGAAGUUUGUCGAAUUUUGUAUUAACAUUAUGUUUCAGAUUUUUAAAUAAGGUGUUGUUUAAAAUGAUUAAAUAUUAAAACACGUAUAAAAUCGCAUAUUCUUCAAGAGUUGAAGCUUUAAAUAAUUUUAUUUCUUCCUCAAGAUUGCUAAUUUAUUGUAGAUUUGGGUGAAAAUUUGAGCAAUCGUGGAAAUUCAAAGAUUUACAGUUUUUUUCAAGGGCCUAUAAGUUAUGAGGUUUAUUAGGUAAUAGAACCUAUCCGAAGGAACUCAGGAAAAGAUUUUGUUAUCCUUUGAAAACGUUUAUAUUUAAUGUAUUGAAUGAAAAAGAGAGAAAAAAUUAAGAAGAUUUGUUUUAUUGUUGUUGUUUUUGCCUUAAUCACUUUUUUUUCAAGGUAAAAUGGGAGAAACCCGUUGCAAAAUGAACUCAAUAUGUAGAUAAGAUUAGUUUUCUAAAAGUUUGCAUAUGUUUUAUGAGCGUAGUGUUUGGGUUCGGGAAUGGCGACAAUGCUCUUAUUUCAAUUUCUUACAUAGUUUGUUGUUUUUGAGGGGGUCGGGUCAAUCGGCAGAAAACCGAACGGCAGAAUGCCGAAUGGCAGAAUGCCAAAUGGCAGAAAAUCACAUAGCAGAAAGGACAAAUAGCAGAAUAGGUCAAAUGGCAGAAUAUUAAAUGGCGGAAAAGGUCAAUCAGCAGAAAAUUAAAAGGCAGAAAAUUAAUUGGCAGAAUAAGUCAAAGAGCCGAAAAAUCAAAAGGCAGAAAAAUCAAAAGGCAGAAAAAUUAAAAAGCAGAAAAGUUAAAUGGCAGAACGUCAAUAAGCAGAAAAAUUAAUUGGCAGAAAAUUAAUUAGCAGAAAAUUAAAUGGCAGAAAGUUGAUCAGCAGAAAAAAUAAAUAGCAGAAAAUUAAAUGGCAGAAAAUUAAACGGCAGAAUAGUUAGUUGGCAGAAUAGUUAAAUGGCAGAAUAGUCAAAUGGCAGAACAGCCAAAUGUCAGAAUAAUCAAAUGGCGGAAUAAUUAAUUAGCAGAAGAGUUGAAUGGCAGAAUAGUUAAAUAGCAGAAUGUCAAAUGGCAGAAUAAAUAAUUCACAGGAGAGUUGAAUGGCAGAAUAGUCCAAUGGCAGAACAGUCAAAUGGCAGAAUAGUCAAACGGCAGAAUAGUCCAAUGGCAGAACAGUCAAAUGGCAGAAUAGUCAAACGGCAGAAUAGUCAAAUGGCAGAAUUCACUUGAUUUAAUAUUAAUGGUACGUUCAUUUGAAGUGCCGGUGCGGCACUGAGUGCCGCACUCGUCGGUGCCAGUUUUGAUUCAAUCGAACGUCAUUUGUCAGUGUGCGUGGAACUCGCAUGAAACUGAAAAAAUAUCGAGUGCGGCACUAGAGUUUCAGUUCCAAGAUGGCAGCGAAACUCGUGCGGAACUAGCACGAGUUUUUCCAAAGAAACACUUUGCUUAUAUUGUAACUUCAGUGUUUAUUCAACAUAAACAGUUUAUCAAACAGUUCAUGCAAUAAAAGUAAUAAUUUUUAAUAACUUGUACUGUUUAACAUUUAGAGUCUUUUGAAUAGGUCCUUUAAACAUAUGAAACACAAUAGCUUAUAGGACCUUUUUUUUUAAAAAAAAACUAUGAACCGAUGGAGGUUAUGUUACACAUGACCAGUCUGCCCAAGAACUAUGCAAGAAGCAUGUUGAAAUGGUGGCAAAUUUUCGAUUCGGACAGUGCAUGUGUUUAAAUGGGGAGAAAGACCGCAAUGUAGUACCGCCCCUUUCAAAUGUUGCUCCAGCCAGCCCAGUCACGAAAUAUUCUAGCAGAGCUGGUUCUGCUAAAACCCUGCUGGAACGGUGGAGCAUUUCUGCUAGAAUGCUGUAAGAAUUUCCAGCUUUGUUAGAACUGUGCUAGAUCGUCGUAACUGGGAGAUUUCUACCACUUGAAGCAGUGUAUGCACUUGGUAACAAACCAGUCAAGGAAAAUUUCAAAUGGGCAACAACAGCAGCGAAAGCAAGCCAGAGAUGGUGUAGAAAACCCCCCAAAAAUCGCUUCGUUGUUCUGCUCUUCGUAAAAAUGUUUUUUGACUCCUUUCCUUUUCGAGCUGCGUACUGGCCCUGUGUCCUAAAUAGUUCCUUAGUAACUUUUUAAAAUUGCGUAACCAUUAAUGUAAACAAACAGUCUAUCCCACUUGCUCUGGUGACAGUUAUCGUUGUGUAAAAGUGAGAUAGAUAGCUUCACAGCAACUGCACAGAAAGUUUAACUCCAUGUUAAGAUUUGACAGCUCGAUAGAGAUAUCCACGCGCGAGAGUGUAUUAGUUCGUAACAAAAUGACACGCAUACAUAGGCAAAUCGAGUAGAAUGAUUCGUCUGUCAAAAUCAGCUGUGGUGGUGCACGUGGUAAACAGCUGGUUUUUACAGGCGAUUGAUCUACUCGAAAAUAGUAUAAACAAAAUCUAAGCUAUCUAAGCCCGAUCUCACGCACACUUUGUUUUUGCUGGCGGGUACAAAUUUAAACCUAAAAACCCUUCGUGUUCAAACACGCAAUACAUGCGCACGUAGAUAACUCUAUCUCACUCUUACACAACGAUAACUGUCACCAGAGCAAGUGGGAUAGACUGUUUGUUUACAUUAAUGGUUACGCAAUUUUAAAAAGUUACUAAGGAACUAUUUAGGACACAGGGCCAGUACGCAGCAAAGGAGUCAAAAAAUAUUUUUACGAACAGCAGAACAACGAAGCGAUUUUUUGGGGGGUUUUCUACACCAUCUCUGGCUUGCUUUCGCUGCUGUUGUUGCCCAUUUGAAAUUUUCCUUGACUGGUUUGUUACCAAGUGCAUACACUGCUUCAAGUGGUAGAAAUCUCCCAGUUACGACGAUUACAGCAUUCUAGCAGAAAUGCUCCACCGUUCUAGCAGGGUUUUAGCAGAACCAGCUCUGCUAGAAUAUUUCGUGACGGGGCUGGCUGGAGCAACAUUCGAAAGGGGCGGUACUACAUUGCGAUCUUUCUCCCCAUUUAAACACAUGCACUGUCCGAAUCGAAAAUUUGCCACCAUUUCAACAUGCUUCUUGCAUAGUUCUUGGGCAGACUGGUCAUGUGUAACAUAACCUCCAUCGGUUCAUAGUUUUUUUUUUAAAAAAAAAGGUCUGUUCGGCCAGGGGCCGACUUUGAAUUCCCUACGUUGUGUUUUACUUGUCCAGGCGCGUAGAAUCUUCCAAAUUGAUUGAAAUAAAACAACUAGUUUGUGGUGACUCGGUCUCGGACGGUGGUCAGCGCGCGAAGAGGCAGAAUAAUAGUUUAUUGUUCUCGAUGCGGGUACAGAAGUAAACAUUCAGGGGACGGACACAAAUACCAUAGACUAAUUAAAGACUAAACACUCCGAAAAUUUUUUUUUAAAAAGGUAUGACUCAUAAGCUGUGAACCGCGAGUACCACGUUGAACCACACAUCGGCUCGCCCCUCGUAUGACAGAACGACCUGGCAGCGCUGGUUUUUUCGAUUUCGUUUUGUGCUGAUUUACGCGCGCAUCUUGUUUGUUUUUGUUUUGCUUAGCGAUCAAGGCAGGCUGCAAAUGAGUCAAUCAGCUGUGCAGGGAUUUUUGUUUGGCGCAACGAGCGAAAUUGACUGGUGUUUGGUUUUACGAUGAUUGCUGUUUGUCAUCAUUCCUCGUAAGCAAAAUCUGUUCAAUACGAACACCUCGAUCGUCCGCGACCUUGCCGCCGGAUGAUUUGAUCAUCUCGAAUCUAGACAACGAUGGUAACGAUUGCCUGCGACACUCUACAAAAGGCCGGAUUUUUGGAACCGAAGUGCGCGUUUGGCAUUUCCAUGCUGUACAUUGUCCGUCCCAACACGUUCAUCGGUGAGGGUGUCGACUUCGGCGGGUCAACAUUCCGGUCAUCGGAGGCCACUCCGGCCAGACCAUUAUCCCAGUGAGCUUCCCCAGGACAAGAUUGCCACCCUGGCGGUACGCAUUCAGGAGGUCCUCAAGACCAAGACCGGUGCCGGUGCGGACACUCUCACGACGGCCUACGCCGAAGCCCGUUUUGCUCUCGCUAUGGCCCAUGCCAUGAACGGCAAAAAGAACGUGAUUGAGUGCGCGUUCGUCCGCUCGUCACUUACUUCUCCACGCUGCUGCUGCUGGUCAAGAACGUUCUCGAGAAGAACCUUGGUCUGCCCAAGGUGAACGCCUACGGACAGGAGCUGCUGAAGAAGGACAUAUCGGAGCUGAAGAAAAACAUCCGGAAGGGCGAGGAAUUUGUCAAGAACUAUGUGAACAAAAAAAAAAGUGAAUUUCGAUCAUGUUGAAAAAGUUGUCACCGUUGUAACCAACCAUUGAAAAUAAACUUUCAAGUGCAUGAUAAAAAAUAUCGUCGUUUUUGUUUUCUUUGUAUUUACCAAAGUAAAAGAAGGAAUUUUUCCCCAUGACCCAUGAGGAUUCUUGAACUUAGCGACUUCGGUGGGUCUCAGUUCCGGGACGAAGUGGGCUUCCUUUUUGGGGGCUCCCUCUAAGUGGAACAAACUGUGCUGACCUCCGCGUACAGUUCGCCUAUAUAGGUGACGGAGAAGGAGGUGCACUAAGCGGUCGUACGGAUUGUCGGUGAAACUGGUUCGGGGACAAAUUUUUGUUUGACGACGUUAUCGCUGGGGUUCGGAAUGCCAAGUUGACGGUUCAGGGCAAAGAACUUGGCUGAUUUGAGGUUUUUGAAGUAGGUGCACAUUCUUGCCUUUCAGUGUGACAAUUCCGGGUUGGAGGAGGACGGUUUUCUUCAGCUGAAGCCGGACGGCGGUAUUAACCGGAGGUGGCCCGCGCCGGUUUUGCUUGGCAAACCCGACGGUGAUCACGUGGAUCGUUUUUGGGAAGAAGACGAUUAACAUCCCACAAUGA